CGCCUCCGAGAGCUCCACAGAGAAGCUGGGUGAGUGGUCCAAAGGCGGGAACUACGGAAGCCAUGGAGGGAUGGCAGCCGCACCACAGCAAGGACUGUAGCUGACAAUAGGGAGCUGAGGCAUGAACCCUGCAAAUGGCACAGCGUGGAGAGAUUCAGCAGGGGACGCCAGGAGCGGCAGAGCCAAAGCUGGAGCAGCUUGCUGAUAAAGACCCGCAGACUGGGUGUAGGUAACCAUGGCGACCGGUGAAGCAAGGAGGUGAGGAAGAGAGGAGAAACUUACUGGCUGAGAGAAGGUCCCACGGAGAAAGGAUUCACUGGUACCACAGGAAAGAGAAAAGAGAGUGGGACUGGAGUGGAGCAGACUGAAUAGUGGUGGAGAAAAGGGAGACCGCCAGCUGUGAGAACAGCCAGGGUGCUCCACAACCUGUGCGGAAGUUACUAAUAAACCAAUUUUCUUUUAUCCUACUUCUGGGGUGAUUUACUAUACCUUCUCUCUUUGGGAAAUUAACUUCUUAUUCUUCCAUCAUUCCAAAGCAUGGCAGGCGAGUCCCAGGGAGACAGAUUUCAUUAUUCACCCUCUCCCGGCCACAAGUGGUGCAUUGGCUGGGAAGCAACAAAUAAACCCCGGCAGGACGGAGUCCAUGGAGGUCCAGAACCCCACUGAUUGGCAACAAGCCCACAUCUUGACAUUGAGGAUUCUGCAAGGACAACAAGUCCAGAUGAAGAAGCUUAUGCAAAUGAGGACACAAGAAGCCAAGGCCAGGAUUCAUCUGUUUGUGCAGCAACAAGACCUCAGUAAGAAAACUGAGGCACAGCAGGUACACUGGUCCUGGGAAGUGGGGGGAGCCUCAGUGCAUUAGAUGUGCCCUCAGGAUGACAUCAAAGCCUUCAGCUAUUGUGGCAAAAUAGGAUCCCAACACCUGGGCCACCCGAAAAAGACCCCUACUGAUAAGACUGGCAAAAGUGGCUUACAGAGCAUUAAACCAGUCCAAGGCUAGAGAUUAUAAGAAGGUCAAAAUUGACUCCCAAGAUGUGCAGACAAAAAAAUUAGGGCCAAGAAGCGGGGGGAGGAGCUUCGGCCACACUUACUAGCCCAAAGAUUAAGGGAUCUAGCUGAACGUUGGCUACAUCCCAAAGGGAAGGGAAGACGGGGGAGGAGGUUGUGGACUUGAUAAUACUUGAAUAGUUCCUGACUGAUCUGGGAGGGAGUGCCCAGCAAGGGGUCAGGAGGCAUCUGCCUAAAACUGUUGAAGCCCUGAAGCUAGCAGAAGACUAUGUUGUGGCCGAGGCUGAAGGGGAACCCCUAAAGAGGGAAAGGACUGGGAACCCUGCCAAACCUGGACAAGCAAAAGGAGAUUGAAAAGGGAGGAAGAUGGAAUUCCCUAGUGAUGGAAUUGCCUACACGGGGCAGUGGCCUCUUUUCAGAGGUUGAUGGACUGAGUCCUGGCCCCCCACCAGGAAUAUGCAUCUGCCUACAUCAAUGAUAUAAUCAUCUGAGCCACUGGCACAGCUGUUUAAGCACUCGUGGUGUUCCGGCCAGGUCCCUGAGGACUGGAGAAAGGCCAAUGUGGUGCCCAUUUUCAAGAAAGGGACAAAGGAUGAGCUGGGUAACUUUAGACCAGUUGGUCUUACCUCUAUUCCUGGGAAAAUGCUAGAGAAAAUAAUCAAAGAACACAUUUGUGCAGGCCCAGCAGGGGAAAUGAUGGUGAGGGGAAACCAGCACGGGUUUGUCACAGGUAGAUCCUGCCUGAGAAACCUUGUAGCCUUCUAUGACCAGGUCACACGCUGCCUGGAUGCGGGAGCCGAGGCUGAUGUCAUCUUCCUGGACUUUAGGAAGGCCUUCGACACAGUUUCGCACCCUAUCCUCAUUGGGAAGCUAGCAGACUGUGGAGUGGAGGCCUACACGGUCAGUGGAGCACUGGGCCAGCAGGUCCAAUGUAGCUGCUGAUUUCCUGUCACAACCUGAAGGAUGAGAUGCUGUCACUCUUGACUUGACCUUGACAAAUGCAACAGAAAAAGGACUGCUCACCAUAGUUUUGUUCUUUAUGUUCAGACCAGAGGGAGAAGGUGUGUAACAGGGUAAAGACAGCCCUGUUCCUUUGAUGUUACUAAGUUGCAAGUAUGGGGGAAGAGUCAGGUCAGGGACAGGGCAAAGUUAAUUACUUAGUAAACACAGUUGGGAAGGGGGUCACACUCAGAGUGAAUAUUAACUGGUUAGCAGCCAGCAGCUACUUAAGUUCACAGCAAGGGGUUUUCCUUUGCCCCCUGGGGCACAGCGUGGAGAGAUUCAGCAGGGGACGCCAGGAGCGGCAGAGCCAAAGCUGGAGCAGCUUGCUGAUAAGACCCGCCAACUGGGUGUAGGUAACCAUGGUGACCAGCGAAGCAAGGUGAGGAAGAGAAGAUAAACUUACUGGCUGAGAGAAGGUCGCACGGAGAAAGGAUCUGCUGGUACCACAGGAAAGAGAGUGGGACUGGAGUGGAGCGGACUGACUUGGGGGAGUGGGCUGCACAGUGGUGGAGAAAAGAAAGACCGCAAGCUGUGAGAACAGCCAGGGUGCUCCACAACCUGUGGGGAAGUUACUAAUAAACCAAUUUUCUUUUA